UCAGAACGAACGCUGGCGGCGGGCUUAACACAUGCAAGUCGAACGAGAAAGUACUUCGGUACGAGUAUAGUGGCGCACAGGUGAGUAACAUGUAGGUGACCUGCCCUUCAGAGGGGGAUAACCAGAAGAAAUUCUGGCUAAUACCGCGUACGCAAGACAAUUUUAAAAGUAGUCUUGGAAAGGAUGCUCCGGCAUUCACUGAAGGAUGGGCCUGCACGACAUUAGCUAGAUGGUGGGGUAAUGGCCUACCAUGGCAAUGAUGUCUAGCUGGUCUGAGAGGAUGACCAGCCACACUGGAACUGAGACACGGUCCAGACUCCUACGGGAGGCAGCAGUGGGGAAUAUUGCGCAAUGGAGGAAACUCUGACGCAGCCACGCCGCGUGAGUGAGGAAGGCCUUCGGGUUGUAAAGCUCUGUCGAUAGGGAAGAAUGGCAGUGGGUCUAAUAGGCCCAUUGAUUGACGGUACCUAUAAAGGAAGCACCGGCUAACUUCGUGCCAGCAGCCGCGGUAAUACGAAGGGUGCAAGCGUUGUUCGGAUUUACUGGGCGUAAAGCGCGCGCAGGCGGGUUUAUAAGCCAGAUGUGAAAUUUUGGGGCUCAACCCCAAACGUGCGUCUGGAACUGUAGAUCUAGAAUAUUGGAGGGGAAAGUGGAAUUUCACAUGUAGGGGUAAAAUCCGUAGAGAUGUGAAGGAACACCAGAGGCGAAGGCGACUUUCUGGCCAAUUAUUGACGCUGAGGCGCGAAAGCGUGGGUAGCAAACAGGAUUAGAUACCCUGGUAGUCCACGCCGUAAACGAUGAGCACUAGAUAUGGGGCGAAUUGAUCCGUUCCGUGUCGACGCAAACGCAUUAAGUGCUCCGCCUGGGGAGUACGGUCGCAAGACUAAAACUCAAAGGAAUUGACGGGGGCCCGCACAAGCGGUGGAUUAUGUGGUUUAAUUCGAAGCAACGCGCAGAACCUUACCUGGGCUUGAAGUCCUGAGAACCUGUCUGAAAGGACGGGGUGCCCUUCGGGGAAUUCAGUGAUAGGUGCUGCAUGGCUGUCGUCAGCUCGUGUCGUGAGAUGUUGGGUUAAGUCUCGCAACGAGCGCAACCCCUAUCUUUAGUUGCCAGCAUUAAGUUGGGCACUCUAGAGAGACUGCCUGGGUUAACCAGGAGGAAGGUGGGGAUGACGUCAAGUCCUCAUGGCCCUUAUGUCCAGGGCUACACACGUAAUACAAUGGUCGGUACAAAGGGACGCCAACCCGCGAGGGGGAGCAAAUCUCAAAAAGCCGAUCUCAGUCCGGAUUGGAGUCUGCAACUCGACUCCAUGAAGUUGGAAUCGCUAGUAAUCGUGGAUCAGCACGCCACGGUGAAUACGUUCCCGGGCCUUGUACACACCGCCCGUCACACCAUGGGAGUUGGUUUUACCUGAAGUCGUGGCCCUAACCGCAAGGAGGGGAGCGCCUACGGUCGAACUGAUGACUGGGGUG
rnacentral:rRNA from 1 species